UUUAUACUCCCUCCGUCCGGAAAAGCUUGUCCGUCAAAUGGAUGUAUCUAGCACCAAGUUAGUGCUAGAUACAUCCAUUUGAGGGACAAGCUUUUCCGGACAGAGGGAGUAUAUG
rnacentral:pre_miRNA from 1 species